UCUUCGGUAGUAUAGUGGUUAGUAUUCCCGCCUGUCAUCCGAUAGAACGCGGGCGACCGGGGUUCAAUUCCCCGCCGAAGAG
rnacentral:tRNA from 1 species